AUGACUGAGAUGGUUGGCUCAUCUACGGGCGAAUCGACCAUUUGGAAGGCACUAUGGAAGAUCAAUGUGCUUCCGAAGAUCCGGGUAUUUUGGUGGCGCGUGCUAAAGAAUUUCUUGCCGUCUUUUGGAGAGCUAAAGAGGAGGCAUAUCAAGCAACUACCAAACUGCCCGAUGUGUGGACAUGAAGACGAGACGCUGUUUCACUCGCUUCUGGAAUGUGAUCAUGCAAAAUGUUUUUGGGAAGCAGCAGAACGCUUCUUUGGUAUUGAUAUACCGCGGUUACAUCCACUAUCAUGGUCCCGAGAUCUACUAGAUCAACGCUUAUUCAAGAAGGAGGUGACAGCUAUUAUGAUCACUGUAAUGUGGGCUGUGUGGCACUCCAGGAACAGUUAUACCCAUGGUGAGUUAGCAUAUCAGCCUGUCAAAUCAAUGGUGAUUAUAGAAGAGAUUAUCAGGGCUUUGGAGAUCCCUGAGAGGAAGAAGACCCAGCCUACUCAUAUCCAAAGGUGGGUACCACCGGAGGAUGGUUGGAUAAAGCUCAACACCGACGGAGCUACGGAUGCGGGGAAAAUAUGUGGUGGGACGGGCUUCAUUGCUCGAGACCAUCAGGGAGUGUUUCUCAAAGCGGGAGAAGCACGAUAUGAUGGCAUUACUGAUCCUUUAUCAGUUGAACUACUUGCAUGCAGAGACGCGAUCCAGAUGGCAUGUGACAUGGGUUUGCAGCGAGUGGUGGUGGAGACGGAUUGUCAGGAGAUCCAACGACUCUGGGAGGCACCUCAGAGGUCGACGUGGUUUCAUCUCAUUCUGGAGAUGAAGGAUUUGUCUACUUUUUUCCAGGGAUUUAGACUACGGUUUGCAGGUCGUCAGACUAACAUGGCGGCACACCGUCUAGCUAGGCAUUCAUUAAAACUUUCUGUUGUUAUGAACUUGUUUGACACAAUCCCUGGGUGGCUGACUGAUUGUUUGCAGUCAGACAUGCUAGCGCCUAAUGAAUAA
rnacentral:rRNA from 1 species